rfam:Gossypium hirsutum cultivar TM-1 chromosome 23, whole genome shotgun sequence
UGUUAAAAAUUUCAUCCAUUUGUAUUGUUAAAAAUUGACGUGGUUAACAGAAUAAUCAAACAAUGACAUGCGACGUGUAUACCUCACUUAACAUAAAUGGGCCAAUUUUUAACAGUACAAAAUAGAUGAAAUUUUUAACA